GAGGGUAUAGCUCAGUGGUAGAGCACAUGCUUAGCAUGCAUGAAGUCCUGGGUUCAAUUCCCCAUACCUCCA
rnacentral:tRNA from 1 species